CCGAAUAUUAAAUGCUGUGUUUCGGGAAAUAGCUCACAUUUUAAAAAUGAACACUAAUGGCAGUUAUAUAAGGAAUCUUGCGACUGCCCCUUUGGCGGCCUGUGAAGCCAGCCCACUUGCCUGCUGUACUGAGCCGCAGGAGGAAGAACAGCGCGGCACUGUCUGCCUGUGCCUGUGCACCGUGGAGGGUUACGUCAGCUCUGCUUUUCCCCUAAAUCAUAUGGUUACCCAACCUCUGUUUGUCGUUGGUAAAUGAUGCCAAAACUACACAGGGUUGGUCAAUUUUAGGGUUGAUAUUGGAGGUCGUGCGUGAUGCAAGAUAACGUCAGGAUUAGCAUUGUUGCUAAUGGGUUGUCCUGUGUGGUGACAGACAAAACACCCAAAGAAAAUGCACAGAUUCUCACUGUCUUUACUAUUUGUAGCCUCGUGCUCAGGUAACCGGGAAGCCACUAACUUGGAGGUGAAACUGCGGUCACACCUUGGACGUACAUUUUAACUCCGCGUUAGAUAAAAUUAAUGGACGUGCUCAGUCAUCGCAGACACCGUUAUCUAACCCGUCGUUAUCCCAAUAUUUUCCAUCUUGUUGGCAAUCUUCGUGCUACCAUUAAUUACGCACGGGAGCUUUAGUUGUUUCAACAAAUAAUUAUCUCUCACAUUUAAAACACGAACUUGUUAGCUUAAUGCUACCCACAAGAGAAACGUAGCUAGCAAAGCUACAAUAAAUUGGCAAAAGUAGCUAGCCUACCCUAAAGCCCCUACAGUUGGGUAGAGCCUUAAAAGAAAGACAACAUAACCUUUUGGGUGUGAUUGUACUAUAAAAAAAAAACAUUGAAACCUACAUCUUUGGAUAAUCAUGCUUCUCACUGUUAAUUGUAAUGCAGAUGACUAAUGCAGUGGCAGCACUCUGUUAUUAACUCAACAUUAUUUACUAAGAUAAAGUAAUUAUAUAUUUGGUCGUCGUUCUCUUCUAAUUUAGCGGGUUUUUUAAAAAUGUAAUGUCAAAUGAAUUAUUUAAGUAGACCACAAAAAAUUUGCUUUAUCAAGAAAUCAAAUUGCAAAUUGCUGUGAUAAAUAACAACUUGUAGUUAUAUUUUUCCAGCUUCAUCUGUCUUCUCUGUUUUGCCUAAAUUCCUUACACACACACACACACACACGCGUCUCAUUUAAUUCGAUUGCUGCCAAAAUCAUGUUACUGUGUCGUGCUAUAUCAGCUGUUGGUGUUUGCAGAGUUGUGAUGUCUACUUUAGCUCUUAACUGUUAUGUGUGUGAGUGUCUGUGUCCUUAAAUUGAAUGUUGGAGGAGCUUCUUGGGUUUACACAGUAAUUCCUGGCAAGUACAGUAAAUAUUCCCAUCCCCGGAAUUCUAUAGAAAGGAAUAUCCUUCACCCGUAAUAAAAACCUAUGCAUUAACAUUUUGACUACGAUAUUACGUGUUACCGGAAGUUGCGUAAGCGGAAAUUCCACUACCCGUAACCCGGAUGAAGGUGUAAUGCCGCGGGAGCUUAAAUACACGCAAAGCCCACCCGAUGCGACGGAAAAUACUGACGCUGAAAUAAGUUUUCACUUCACGUUUCUCGAUCAUCAUAUUCUAAACGACGACGUAACGCGGCACGAUCUUAAAAGCAGCACCCACUCGACAUGACCGAAGAAACGUGUUCGCUUCGCCGUUUUCAUUCAUCGGAUUCGAAACGAAGACGUGUAAGCGACUUUUUAUUGGCGUGCGUUUUACUGUAAUUGCGAAAGAUUUUAACUUUAUUCACUUACGUCGUGUAGAUCAUCGCAUGAA